UCCCUCGUGGCUCAGAUGGUAGAGAAUCUGCCUGUAAUGCAGGAGACCCAGGUUUGAUCCCUGGGUUGGGAA
rnacentral:tRNA from 1 species